UUCACAUUUGUUGUGCAAGAAACGAAAAGUCCUGUUAUGAUAGGAAUACAUUGCUAACCGAAAUUUAUAAAGAUAAAGAAAAAACAAAUAACAAUCGAAAAUCUCAAAUAAAAUUGUGAAGAUUGCCACGACCUAUUCUUUUUAAUUCUUUUUCCGAGGAAUGAACUGUCACUUAGCCAUGAUUACUGUUGCAUACUUAGCAAUAUUUGUCUGCGUAAUUUUUGGAACAUCUACAGCAG